rnacentral:rRNA from 1 species
GACGAACGCUGGCGGCGUGCUUAACACAUGCAAGUCGAACGGAAAGGCCCUGCUUUUGUGGGGUGCUCGAGUGGCGAACGGGUGAGUAACACGUGAGUAACCUGCCCUUGACUUUGGGAUAACUUCAGGAAACUGGGGCUAAUACCGGAUAGGAGCUCCUGCUGCAUGGUGGGGGUUGGAAAGUUUCGGCGGUUGGGGAUGGACUCGCGGCUUAUCAGCUUGUUGGUGGGGUAGUGGCUUACCAAGGCUUUGACGGGUAGCCGGCCUGAGAGGGUGACCGGCCACAUGGGGACUGAGAUACGGCCCAGACUCCUACGGGAGGCAGCAGUGGGGAAUAUUGCACAAUGGGCGGAAGCCUGAGGCAGCAACGCCGCGUGCGGGAUGACGGCCUUCGGGUUGUAAACCGCUUUCGCCUGUGACGAAGCGUGAGUGACGGUAAUGGGGAAAGAAGCACCGGCUAACUACGU